UACGUAGGGGGCUAGCGUUGUCCGGAAUCAUUGGGCGUAAAGCGCGUGUAGGCGGUCCGGUAAGUCCGCUGUGAAAGUCGGGGGCUCAACCCUCGGAUGGCGGUGGAUACUGUCGGGCUAGAGUGCGGAAGAGGCGAGUGGAAUUCCUGGUGUAGCGGUGAAAUGCGCAGAUAUCAGGAGGAACACCUAUUGCGAAGGCAGCUCGCUGGGACGUAACUGACGCUGAGACGCGAAAGCGUGGGGAGCAAACAGG
rnacentral:rRNA from 1 species